rnacentral:lncRNA from 1 species
UUGGAUCUAGAAGAUCUUGUGAUGGGUCUUAUGCGUCACAGGAGUUGGAUCAAACUCUAGUUCCAACCAAUGGGUUGAUCGGACAUCUGAGCCUAUGGAAAUUGAUUCAGGAAACUCGUGGACAUCCAGUAUUUGACUCGCUACCAGAAAUUAGCACAACCAUGGUACAAGAAUACGAUGGAUUUCCAAUGACAGGUUUCUUACUUUGGGGCGAGCAUACACAAGUGAGUUACAACUUCUACGUAGAAAGUUAUUUGAAAAACUUCCAAAUUCAUGGUAUAGAUUGGCAAUUCUAUUGUAACACAUUGAUGAUGCCACAAGAGACUGUAGCUCCAGAUGGUACCACAUAAGGUCGCAACUCAUC